ACCCCAAUGACUUGGCUCGUUUCAAAGACUUUAGAGCCAAAUAAGGAAAGCCAAGAUUGAUUACGAGGAAAAGCUCUCUCAGCUGUCAAACCAUAGAUAACUUCAUAUAUAGAUCGAUCAAGGGCGCUGCGAUCGCGUCUUUUCGUCUCAGCUGUCGCUGACGCUCAUGCGGUGCAGCUCCUGUUGAGCUUAAGCAUUCUAGUUAUGGUUUUCUAUGUGUCAAACAUUCGAUUAUUGCAUUCAUACGUCCUUGGUGUAAAAAAGAGGACCAGAAAGAUUCACGCUUUUCAGGAGGAGAAUGGAGAGCUCCUGGAGGAAGAUAUGGCUAUCAUAGAAAGAUUUAACAACUAUUUCGUGUCAGCAUUCCGGGGAGACAAUUCCUUCGAAAGUGCUGAGGAAGAUGUGUCGCCUCCUGGUUCUUUGCAAGGAAUUAUUUUUCACAAGUACGAAGUUUUCAAGAAGCUUAAGGCUUUGAAACAAUCUUCUUCUCCAGGACCUGAUGGCCUCUCCGCGAGAGUGCUGAAAAGACUAGCAAGAUGUGUUGCUUCGCCGCUAGCCUUUCUCUUCGACCUCUCCAUGAGGUCGGGGACCAUUCCUCGGGACUGGACUGAUGCAAAUGUCUUCCCUCUUCACAAGGGAGGAGAUGUGAAGAAAAAACCAACUACCGUCCGAUUUCGCUCACCUCAGUGUGUUGUACGGUGAUGGAGAGCAUUAUCAAAGACAAUCUCACCAGGUUUCUUGAUGGUCGAAAAUUUUUCACCUCACAGCAACAUGGGUUCCGGGCUGGUCAUUCUUGCACAACAAACCACGUUGUUUUCCAUGAUUUUGUAACUGAAGCCCUGGACGAAGGUUCUCCAGUUGACGUAAUAUUUUUGGACUUUGCCAAGGCAUUCGACUCUGUUAAUCACAGGUUACUUGUCAUGAACCUUCGAGGAAUCGGUUUUUUGGAUAAAGUGUGCCUCUGGAUUCGUUGGUUGCGAAAUAGGCAGCAGCGAGUAAUUCUAAAUGGGCCCAAUUCAGCGUGGCAACCGGUCAACUCUGGCGUUCCGCAAGGGAGCAUCCUUGGACCAUUACUUUUUCUCAUUUUCAUAAAUGACCUCCGUCCAAUUCAUGGCUCCGUUCUGAUGACAUUUGCAGAUGACGCCAAACUAUGCAAAAAGAUUAAUUCUGAUAAGGACCUAUUUACGCUUCAAAAUGACCCGAAUGUUAUCUCAGAAUGGGCCAAGGUCAACAAGAUGCGCUUUAGCAUACACAAAUGUCAAGUGGGACGUGCACAUACUCAAGGCAUGACAGGUCCGGGACCACCUUAUUAUACAAUGAGCCAUGUGCUCUUGGAAGUGACGGAUAAAAAGAAGGACUUCGGGGUGGCAUUCGACUCCCGUUUAAAUUUUAGUGAACAUUGCUCGACAAUUGCAGCUAAGGCGGACGGAACCCUGGGUAUGAUAUGGAGAGCAUUUACUUCUCGGAAUCCAACAAUCUGGGCUCGUUUGUUAAGACGUACAUGCGGCAGACCUUGGAGUAUUCCAGCCCCGUGUGGAACCUGAUAAAUAUUGGGGACGCUAAUCGAAUUGAACAAUUUCAAAUAAGAGCGUCUAAAUGUAUCCCCUCAUGUCGGAAUUUCGCUUACCAAGAAAGACUUCGGAUACUGGGACUUCGUGCACUUAAUGUACGGAGGCUAGAACUUGACUUAGUUUGGACGUACAAGAUCAUCGUUAAGAAAUAAAAUAGCCAUUGAACCACUAAACCAUA